rnacentral:rRNA from 1 species
GACGAACGCUGGGCGGCGUGCUUAAUACAUGCAAGUCGAGCGAGGCCUUGGAAUUGGAGUCCUUCGGGAUGAAGAGUCCUUGGCCUAGCGGCGGACGGGUGAGUAACGCGUGGGCAACCUACCCCAAAGUCCGGGAUAACAGUGGGAAACCGCUGCUAAUACCGGAUGGCUUUACCUGAGGGCAUCCUCGGGUAAAGAAAGGUUACGCUUUGGGAUGGGCCCGCGUCCCAUUAGCUAGUUGGUGAGGUAACGGCUCACCAAGGCGACGAUGGGUAGCCGGCCUGAGAGGGUGAACGGCCACACUGGGACUGAGACACGGCCCAGACUCCUACGGGAGGCAGCAGUAGGGAAUAUUGCGCAAUGGGCGGAAGCCUGACGCAGCGACGCCGCGUGAGCGAAGAAGGCCUUCGGGUCGUAAAGCUCUGUCCUUGGGGAAGAAGGCGAAAGCUUGACGGUACCCAAGAAGAAAGCCCCGGCUAACUACGUG